rnacentral:rRNA from 1 species
UACGGGGGGGGGCAAGCGUUGUUCGGAAUUACUGGGCGUAAAGGGCGCGUAGGCGGCCCAAUCAGUCGGGCGUGAAAGCUCUGGGCUUAACCCAGAAAGGUCGUUCGAUACUGUUGGGCUAGAGUGAUGGAAGAGGCUACGUGGAAUUCCGUGUGUAGCGGUGAAAUGCGUAGAUAUCGAGAGGAACACCUGCGGCGAAGGCGGGUUGCUGGGCUGACACGUGACGCUGAUGCGCGAAAGCUAGGGGAGCAAACAGG